AUUCCACGGAAGUAGGUUUGAUUGUUAAUUAGGGAAGCCAUUGACAACUCGGGAGAGAUCUUUGGUAUUUUAUAGGGCAUACCUUUCCUUGUGAACAUAUAAUUAAUUGGUUGGGGUAGGAAUUUGUUUUGUAUUGAUUAUGCUAGUGGUGAUACUUAAUUCUAGAUGUUUUUAUUAUUUGAUUUUCUUGCUUUAGUAGUAUAAUAUUUUCAACCUUAUUUUGAUUUACUCGACUAGUUAUAAUUCAUAGCAACUCAAUAUUGAUACUACCUUCUCUGUGGGAUCGACCCUGACUUUCCCUACUACAUAUUAAGAGGAUAAUUAGGCUUUUAUUAUUUUGGUUAGGUGAGCGACCGCCUAUCACCCCUUUUGAAAAAAUAUGGUUCCUUAUCUAAUUAUAUAAAUUUAGUGCUAUUUAAGGAACUACUUUUUAUAAAAAGAGGUUUCUUAUACGGAAUAUUAAUCUAAAACUAUAUUUAACCCACCUUCAAAUUAAAAAAAUAAAAAAUAAAAAUUUUUUAACCCUAUUAUCAUACCAGUUAUCGUCCAUUCACCCCAUGAACCACAACCGCCCCACCCAUUCACUCAUCUCUCUUCUCCCUCUCUUAUAGUUCUAAUCUCUCUUCCAUUGAAGCGUCCUCUAGCUCUCAUUGAAGCGUCCUCUAGCUCUCAUUGAAGCGGAUCUCGAGCUUUAUAGGUAAAUGUGUUGAGCACUUAUAGUUUAAUGGCGGAAGAAACUGGUUCCUAGCCAGCUAACUGUGUUAAUCCUGCAACAUGAACACAUUCAAUUGGCUUAAAACUUGCAGUUCCAAUUGCAUAUCAUGCCCAUCAGCUUUUUUAUUUCAAUGAUGGUGGUAAAAUCUGGUGAAAAUUUAUAUUCAACAAAGGAUGGUUGGAGCUUUAUCAAUUUUGUUUGGAGACAAAUAUAAUUUCUUUAGAGGUUUUAGAAGACCAGUUAUUGUAAAUGUUGUUGAUUGUGUUUAGAAUUUUAUAGUUAUAUUAAUAUUAAGUAUAAGAAUUUUACAUAUUUGUGCAUGAAGAAUAUUAUAUGGAGUAAGGAGCUUGAAAAUCGAAA